GUCUACAGCCAUACCACCUUGAACAUACCCAAUCUUGUCGGAUCUGGGAAGCUAAGCAGGGUUGGACCUGGUUUGUACUUGGAUGAGAGAAGUCUCUACACCAAGUUUUCAUUUAUCUUUUCAAGAGCUCUACAAU
ensembl:rRNA 5S_rRNA 5S ribosomal RNA